rnacentral:rRNA from 1 species
GCCCUUAGAGUUUGAUCAUGGCUCAGGACGAACGCUGGCGGCGUGCUUAACACAUGCAAGUCGAACGGGGUGUUUAUUUCGGUAAACACCAAGUGGCGAACGGGUGAGUAACGCGUAAGCAAUCUACCUUCAAGAUGGGGACAACACUUCGAAAGGGGUGCUAAUACCGAAUGAAUGUAAGAGUAUCGCAUGAGACACUUACUAAAGGAGGCCUCUGACAUAAGCUUCCGCUUGAAGAUGAGCUUGCGUCUGAUUAGCUAGUUGGUGAGGGUAAAGGCCCACCAAGGCGACGAUCAGUAGCCGGUCUGAGAGGAUGAACGGCCACAUUGGGACUGAGACACGGCCCAGACUCCUACGGGAGGCAGCAGUGGGGAAUCUUCCGCAAUGGGCGAAAGCCUGACGGAGCAACGCCGCGUGAACGAUGAAGGUCUUAGGAUCGUAAAGUUCUGUUGUUAGGGACGAAGGGUAAGAAUCAUAAUAAGGUUUUUAUUUGACGGUACCUAACGAGGAAGCCACGGCUAACUACGUGCCAGCAGCCGCGGUAAUACGUAGGCGGCAAGCGUUGUCCGGAAUUAUUGGGCGUAAAGGGAGCGCAGGCGGGAAACUAAGCGGAUCUUAAAAGUGCGGGGCUCAACCCCGUGAUGGGGUCCGAACUGGUUUUCUUGAGUGCAGGAGAGGAAAGCGGAAUUCCCAGUGUAGCGGUGAAAUGCGUAGAUAUUGGGAAGAACACCAGUGGCGAAGGCGGCUUUCUGGACUGUAACUGACGCUGAGGCUCGAAAGCUAGGGUAGCGAACGGGAUUAGAUACCCCGGUAGUCCUAGCCGUAAACGAUGGAUACUAGGUGUGGGAGGUAUCGACCCCUUCCGUGCCGGAGUUAACGCAAUAAG